CGUACUCUAGAGAACGACUUUUUCACCCAGCGUAUGAACCUCUGCCAGUCGUCUAUUACGAGCCAUAUCCCAGGCCAAUGCCAAUGCUACAUCCUGGCAAAGGACCGAUGAUAAGGCCCUUAAUUCGUCCCGGUCCUCCGCAACCGAUGCACUUGCCCUACCCGCCAAGAUUUCUCGGCCCUCAAGAUUUAUACGGAAGCAUGAGACCGCCUUACCCAAGAUUUCCGUGAG